rnacentral:rRNA from 1 species
UACGUAGGGUGCGAGCGUUAAUCGGAAUUACUGGGCGUAAAGCGUGCGCAGGCGGCGCGUUAAGACAGGUGUGAAAGCCCCGAGCUUAACUUGGGAAUUGCGCUUGUGACUGGCGUGCUGGAGAGUGGCAGAGGGAGGUGGAAUUCCACGUGUAGCAGUGAAAUGCGUAGAGAUGUGGAGGAACACCGAUGGCGAAGGCAGCCUCCUGGGCCAGCACUGACGCUCAUGCACGAAAGCGUGGGGAGCAAACAGG